UCUGCGAUUAUUUACUGGCUACAGGACUGGUGAGCCCACGUGAGAAAACAAACAGGAAUUCUAAACAAGAGCCCAACAUCUAUAAGUCAGAGGGCCUCUUCACUUGCAUCAAACCACCAGCGAAAAGUAAAAGAGAAUGAAGCAAAGAAACUAGACGGAAGCUAAGAUAAACCUUUUAAAGACAUCUCCAGUUCUAGCUAUAUAGAUAAUAGAAAAAAGGCUUCUCCUAACUUUUAUGUGGUUAGCAGCCCUGACCUACUUACAGAAUGUCUAUUCUUGCUCCAGUCUCUACAAGGUACUUCCAUUCCAUGUCAUCAUAACUUUCCAUGAAGUAGCCUGUUGAGCCUCGCUUGGUCUCAUGCAUUGGACCAUGUUGCAAGAUGCUUGAAGUCUGAGACACAGACAACUCCAAGAUGCUGGACAAUGAUGACUCUUUAUCACAAGGCUAACAACAGCUAUAUCUUUGGCAAUACGUUUUGAGUUCUUCCCUAUUCUCUUUGGCAUGCCUGUGCUAAAGGGCAAGGAAGCACAAGUCCACAUAAUUUCUGAGCAAUCUACUUAACUUACUUGGGCCUCAGUUUCCCAGUCUGUAAAAUGAAGGAAUUGACUUAUAAUCUUCUAAGGUCUCUUCCAGCACCAACAAUCUAUAACUUUGCAGUUAGUACUUUCAGGAGCCAGACAUAUUUAUAAAAAUGAACGUUAAAGGCAAGGAAGUUACUAUUACACAUAUCCAUCAUAGGCUUCUACCAUGAAUUGAGCAUGCUAGAGAAAUGCCAAAUAUUAUGGAGAAAUCAGCAUAUUCCAAAGAGAAAUUAAUUAGCUUUUAAGGUUUGUUCUAAAAUUUUUUAGCCUAAAAUUUUCAUAUCAAGACAUGUUUAUAUUUAUUUUCAGAAAAGACACAAGCUUAAGCUUAUAUUCUAUAAACCCAGAUAAGGUAGGCAGAAAAAAAUGUAACGAUUCAGGGAUGUGUUCUGACAACAUAAUGCCAAUUUAAACUACUAAGCAAGCCAAUGUUCCAAAAGCUGGAUCUUGCCAUCUUCUUCCUUCCAAAAAAAAAAAAGCUGUUUUCUCAUUUAAAUAGAAUUAUGACUGAUUCACUUUUUCAUUUUAAAGCACAUUCUCAAAGCAUGCAAGCAUGCCACAUGCUUCAAAGAGAAAAAAAUGGAAAUUAGAAACUGCUGCUGUGCUUUCUAUGUUUUAUUAGUUUUGUACUAUUUUUAUUUCUCCUGGUUAUUUGCUGAUAUUGAGUGAUGGAAACCUAAGACCACCAACACAAAUUAAAGGUACAAUUACAAUUGAAA